ensembl:lncRNA
CUUCCAGCUGUAUGACUUCUUUCACUCUAAAAGAAAAUGUGGGAUCAAAGCAGAACCUUGCCAUACAAAAUCAACAUCUUGGACAUAUCCCAGCAUCACUGACUACCUAGGCAUCUUUCUUUCUGUCUUCUAGAAACACAGAAGUGUUCAGGUUAAUCAAGUCUACCUAUCAGCCUGAUCUACUGAGUCCCAACAUUAACACAUGUGCCUUAGAGCCACGUCCACACAUCCCUUAAAUCUUCAGGAGCCGAGGUACAGAGAGAAUCAUAGAAUCAUAGAAUAUCCGAAGUUGGAAGAGACCCACAAGGAUCAUCAAGUCCAACUCCUGGCUCCGCAAAAGACCAUCCAAAUGCAAAUGGUCCUUCAUCUAACCUCAUACUCUGAUUAAAUUACACUUUUACAAAGAAAUCCCAGGAUUUAGUGUGUCCACAAAGCUGAUGAUCCAGAGAAGAACAAAAGAAGUGUAACUGGAAGCCUUUAAUUCACUGUCUCCAGUACAUACUGGGACUUUCUGCUUUUUCCAGUGUUCGCCUGCCCCCCUGAAGAUGAAGCUCUACUGGGAGAUGGUUGGAAGUACAAAGAGGGGAAAAAUAACCGGUGAAUACGUAACAGGAACAACUCGUUCUUGGAUUCAGAGCUGUCUGUGGACAAUCUCCAGUGUUUUGUUGUUGCAUCCAAUGCCACAGAAGUUUCACUGCA